rnacentral:misc_RNA from 1 species
AAGAAUACCCUGAAGUUCUUGGAUCAAUUCUUGGAGCUCUCAAGGCCAUUGUCAAUGUGAUUGGUAUGACAAAAAUGACACCCCCUAUCAAAGAUUUGCUUCCUAGGUUGACCCCCAUUUUGAAGAAUAGGCAUGAAAAGGUCCAGGAGAAUUGUAUUGAUCUUGUUGGUCGUAUUGCUGAUCGUGGUGCUGAGUUUGUUCCGGCUAGGGAGUGGAUGAGAAUUUGUUUUGAACUCCUGGAGAUGCUUAAGGCCCACAAGAAGGGCAUUCGACGAGCUACUGUGAACACAUUUGGUUAUAUUGCCAAAGCCAUAGGACCCCAAGAUGUCCUUGCUACCUUGCUAAACAAUCUGAAGGUCCAGGAACGCCAGAAUCGUGUGUGCACAACUGUUGCUAUCGCCAUUGUUGCAGAAACAUGUUCACCUUUUACAGUCUUGCCAGCCCUGAUGAAUGAGUAUCGUGUUCCAGAGCUUAAUGUGCAGAACGGUGUCUUGAAAUCCCUCUCUUUCCUGUUCGAGUACAUAGGGGAAAUGGGUAA